UAUUGUAGAAGACGAACAAGUUUUUUUCGUUGAUUCUGUGAGAAAAAGACGCUUACUCGUAGGCCUACCGCCCGGUACCACAGAGUACAGACCAUCAUUCAUGCAAUCGAUGCAUGGCGUGUGUGUCAUUGACACUGUCGAGUGUGUGCAGACUUAAGACUGCAGUCUAGGCGUUCAGGCUACAGGCUUCAUCAUGUCUGUGCCCUCCGUGCCACCCCUGGGGUUUUUAAUGCCACUCGUGCCCACACUCAAGUGUUUUGAAGAAUGUAAAAUCCAGUGUGUGAUAAACAUGUGUAAAGAAACCUUUCGUAAGAAGCCAGAAGAGCUUUACAACAAUUUUGGACUGGGAGAUGGAGGCCAUCAUAAACUUCUUGUAGGAUGAGUUGCCGCAGACAGAGAUGAAAACCAUGAUGAAUGUCCGUGAGCCAGAGGCUAUGAUUUGUUUAGUACAACAAUGCGAGGGACUUAACAAAAUUGAGGCGGAAAUAUUCUUGAGGCAGUGUCGGUGCAUGGAAGAAACGGAAACAUUGGAUUAAGGAUUUAUUUCAUAGUGAAUUACACAGUCACAAAUGGAUUACACACGUUCUGGAUUAGACUAGUUUCUGCUGCAACUGACAUUUUUGCAGGUGCCCACUCGUAGGCGAUUCCUUGAUGUCUUCCUUGAAUUUUACAUGAUAUUAUGUCAUUUUCGCCAACAUCGGGUUUUGGCGCCAAGACGUUUGUUCCUAGAACAGUUGAUUUAAAUGCCGAAUGUGGUCAGUUUUAAUUUAUAUCGCAGGUGUCUACCCAAACAAUUUUAGAUGCUUUCUGCUGAAUCUUCUAUUACUACUGUUUUUACUGGGGUUUCAUCGAUGUUUUUUGGUGGAGUGUGACUCUAAAGUAAUAGGCAGCUUGUUAUGCCCCCGCCAAUGCGUAAAGCAUUGCGGAGGCAUUAUGUUUUACCAAUGUCCGUCAGCCGGUAGGCGUCAGGCGUCUGUAAACUUUUCGUUUCCUCUCAUUUUAACAAGAACGCUUUGAGUAAUAACCAUGUAACUUUUUAUGUGGGUAGAAAAAGAUAACGUGUACAGCGGGCAUUACAGACCAAUAACUCUUUCACGAUGUCAACUAAACCUAGUCAGCUAUGACACCAGCUGCCCGGGGUUGUCUGAAAAACACUUCACUUUCCUAAUACACCAACUCAAAGUGCUAACCGGGGCAUAUGCUACGCCCUGCGUUGCUCUUGUUAUUGCAGUAUUUUUGUUCUUCCUCUGGUUCACCUAUAAACUAUUUUUCCAAUCUCCAAUCAUGUUUGAUGCUUUAGCCAUUUUGUUUCAGCUCUUAGAUAGUAGAAAAACGUGUUAUUCAUUAUUUCUGGUAGCACAAGUCCUGGCACGAAAUACCUUUCCCGUCAUAAUAUCAGUACCAAGACGUCACAGGGUAGGUCCUAACUCCAGGAAACGCCUUACUAGUGCACUGUUCCACGUGAAAAGGGUCACUGCUUGGAGAGCUAAAUGGGUCAACAUCAGAAAAGCGCGAUAAUUCAGUCUUUGGAAUUUUUCCUUUUUUUUGUGCAAUUUGUUGAUGGAAACUACUUAUGUAGAACAGGAGGUGACUGGGCAGCGGACAGCUUGGUAAUAUUGCCCUUAACCCCUCGCCUCCCUAGAGGGGACGAUAUAUCGUCCCUGUAUUUUGUCUCGCGUAGGCGGUACGAUAUAUCGUCCCUAUACUAAUGCUUUAGUAUAGAACUCUCGGUACACGUUAGACGCUAUUGUACAGUGUAUUCGUGUCCCUGGUGAUCUGCAGAAAACUAGAUUUAGUUUCAUUCAUAGUUUACAGAGGGCGCUGCAGUUUGAUUGGCGCUUGUGCAGCGUCACAGUACAAGAACUGAUUAGCAUAUAAAUUAAUAUUAUGUUGUAUUAUUCGAUCAAUCAGUAAUAGACAAUAGUCAAUCAAAGGUUAUCAAUCAAGUUACGUUGAUCAUUAACAGGUUGUAACUGCAUCAAUUACAGUUCCAUAUACUUUGUUCAAAUCAGAAAAAUCAAUCAAUUAGAGCAAAAUCAAUCAAAAAAUAUUGAUUAUUACUGAUUAUUGAUUACCUCUUACCUAAUUGAUACCCAGAAACAACGCCAAUUGAUAGCCAAGGUAAUCAGCUUUACGAAAAUGUAUGGUUUUAUUAGUCGUACUUCCACCUAUCAAAUCCCCGUGUCCUUUGCGCUUACACCUAUGAAUUGUCGUGUCUAAAUAGACCCGUGUGUCAAAUCCCCGUGUCUAUUAGCCCCAUCGAGCUUGAUGCGGCCAAUCGGGGGCUAAUUUAGACCCGUGUUCAACACAGGUUUUUGAUAGGUGGAAUCUGAAUAGACACAGCAAUUGCAAGUUCUAAGAUCCGGUGACAGAUGGCGCUGCCUCGGUAUUGCGCAUGCGAAAUUCCCCUCCAACGGGAAAGAAACACAGGAGAGCUCCCUACCUACAGCGCACCUGUCGCCGGGGCUAUUAAUCAUUAUCUAACACAACUGAUAGGUGUAAGUGCGGCUCUAGGAAAAUUCGUCCCCGGAAAACUCGUCCCCGGAAAAUUCGUCCCCUAGGAAAAUUCGUCCCCGGAAAAUUUGUCCCCGAGGAAAAUUCGUCCCCGGAUAAUUCGUCCCCGGAUAAUUCGUCCCCGAGGAUAAUUCGUCCCUGGAAAAUUCGUCCCCGAGGAUAAUUCGUCCCUGGAAAAUUCGUCCCUGAGCAAAAUUUCGUCCCCAGAAUAUUUGUCCCCAGAAAAAAAUAUGUCCCCUAGGAUAAUUCGUCCCUGGGAAAUUCGUGUCCGAGGAUAAUUCGUCCCAGGAAAAUUAAACAAAAGUUGAAAGUUUCUGACAUUACUUUCCAGUAAUAACUACUGCUUACUACUUUCGACUUUUCACAUUCAGUGUUAUAUCUCUAGUUACUACCCUACUAGCUAGUUACCUACUCCCCUCUUUUCAUAGUGGGUAGAGGUAAGCAGGCGAAAUAAUUAAUUUUUUUACAAAUAAGUAUUUCUACUGGUCAGAAUGAAAGAAAAACUCUAAAUUCUUCAAUAAAAUAUUUCGCCUGCCU